CCAGCAGCUGCGGUAAUUCCGGCUCCAAUAGCGUAUAUUAAAGUUGUUGCAGUUAAAAAGCUCGUAGUUGGAUUUCUGGCUUUUGAGGUUUUUUGGGGACGAGUUUGCUUUAUGCUGCUUGUUUUCCCAUUUCUCUGGCCAUUUUUUCCUGCACAAUUGCGGGAUGCCCUUUACUGGGUGUUUCGUUGGCUGUGUGGGGCUUUACUUUGAAAAAAUUAGAGUGUUCAAAGCAGGCAAUUUUUUAGCUUGAAUAGAUUAGCAUGGAAUAAUGGAAGAGGACUUUGGGCCCUUCUUUGUUGUUUUGGUCAUGGGUCUGGAGUAAUGAUUAAUAGGGACGGUUGGGGGCAUUAGUAUUUCAUUGUCAGAGGUGAAAUUCUUGGAUUUAUGAAAGACUGCCGACUGCGAAAGCAUUUGCCAAGGAUGUUUUCGUUAAUCAAGAACGAAAGU
rnacentral:rRNA from 1 species